rnacentral:rRNA from 1 species
GACGAACGCUGGCGGCGUGCUUAACACAUGCAAGUCGAACGGAAAGGCCCUGCUUGCAGGGUACUCGAGUGGCGAACGGGUGAGUAACACGUGGGUGAUCUGCCCUGCACUUCGGGAUAAGCCUGGGAAACUGGGUCUAAUACCGGAUAGGAGCCAUUUUUAGUGUGAUGGUUGGAAAGUUUUUUCGGUGUAGGAUGAGCUCGCGGCCUAUCAGCUUGUUGGUGGGGUAAUGGCCUACCAAGGCGGCGACGGGUAGCCGGCCUGAGAGGGUGGACGGCCAAAUUGGGACUGGGAUACGGCCCAGACUCCUACGGGAGGCAGCAGGGGGGAAUAUUGCACAAUGGGCGCAAGCCCGAUGCAGCGACGCCGCGUGGGGGAUGACGGCCUUCGGGUUGUAAACUCCUUUCGCUAGGGACGAAGCUUUUUGUGACGGUACCUAGAUAAGAAGCACCGGCUAACUACGUG